AGCCUGAACGCUGGCGGCGUGGCUAAGACAUGCAAGUCGAACGGACGUAGCAAUACGUCAGUGGCGGACGGGUGAGUAAUGAAUCGCUAAUGUACCCCGGAGCCAGAGAUAGCUACCCGAAAGGGUAGGUAAUACCUGAUGAGACCACGAACAGGCACCUGUUUGUGCUCAAAGCCGCAAGGCACUCUGGGAGCAGGCGAUUUUGAUCAGCUAGUUGGUGAGGUAAUGGCUCACCAAGGCGACGACGCAUAGCCGGACUGAGAGGUUGCCGGCACAUUGGGACUGAGACACUGCCCAGACUCCUACGGGGGGCUGCAGUAACGAAUCUUCCGCAAUGACACGAAAGUGUGACGGAGCGACGCCGCGUGUAGGACGAAGCCCGUUACGGGUGUAAACUACGUGUACAGGGGAAAGAAAGGUUCUAGGAAUCUUAACCCCGAAGUAGGAAGGGACGACGUAAACUCGUAGUGACCAGCAGCCGC
rnacentral:rRNA from 1 species